UACGUAAGAGACUAGUGUUAUUCAUCUUAAUUAGGUUUAAAGGGUACCCAAACGGUCAUAAACGACUAGAGUUAUAUAGAAGAAGGUAGUACCUUAGGUGUAGAGAUUAAAAUACUGUCAUACCGGAGGGACUCUGAAAAGGCGUAGGCAACCUUCUAAGUAAUAACUGACGUUGAAGGACGAAGGCAUGGAUCACGAACAGG
rnacentral:rRNA from 1 species